AUUGAACGCUGGCGGCAUGCCUUACACAUGCAAGUCGAACGGUAACGCGGGGCAACCUGGCGACGAGUGGCGAACGGGUGAGUAAUGUAUCGGAACGUGCCCAGUUGUGGGGGAUAACUGCUCGAAAGAGCAGCUAAUUCCGCAUACGACCUGAGGGUGAAAGCGGGGGAUCGCAAGACCUCGCGCAAUUGGAGCGGCCGAUAUCAGAUUAGGUAGUUGGUGGGGUAAAGGCUCACCAAGCCAACGAUCUGUAGCUGGUCUGAGAGGACGACCAGCCACACGGGGACUGAGACACGGCCCAGACUCCUACGGGAGGCAGCAGUGGGGAAUUUUGGACAAUGGACGCAAGUCUGAUCCAGCCAUGCCGCGUGCGGGAAGAAGGCCUUCGGGUUGUAAACCGCUUUUGUCAGGGAAGAAACGCUCUGGGUUAAUACCUCGGGGUAAUGACGGUACCUGAAGAAUAAGCACCGGCUAACUACGUGCCAGCCGCCGCAGUAA
rnacentral:rRNA from 1 species